GAGAUUAAAAAUUAAAAAAAAAAAAAACAAUCAAAGUGGUCGUUAUGGAUAAAACGCUGAGAUCAUUGCGUUCAGGAGGGAUUAAUCGUGUCUCUACCUGUCCUUCGUCAGCAUGAUGUCGUCUUCAUGGAACUCCUCCCCGCUGUAGUACUCCCCUGAACCGGGGUCGUCGUCGCUGUCCACGCCUCCCUGCUCCUCCCGACGGAUGGUGGGGUAAAGACCCCCGCCACUCUCUGACCUGACAUCCCAGGAAAAAGACAAGACAUGGUCACGUCAUUACCAACACACUGCACUGUGGAACUGGCUCAGAAAAGAUGUAAACACUGAUACUGCGAGCAGGAACUGGGCGCUAGUUACGGGGUGUUUCGUCAGCGGCGGGAUCUCAAUCGACCAAUUUCCCCGAAAUAUUCAGCCCUGCUGCUCCUUUAUGUGCUUCAUCAGUGAAAAAUGCCACAAAUAGCCGUUUUCUUUCUGAACAGAGUCUGAUGGAGUUUUCUAAAUCGAGGUGUCAGUAGUUUCAUGCCAGCAGACUAAAACAGAACUGCUCCAAAGAGCUUAGGACGGCAGAAAGAGAAGA